UUGAGAUUGUUGAAUAUUUAUGUUGAUUAGUGUUUUGAUUUACUGAUUGAAUAGGAUUAUAAGAUUGGAUAUUGUUUAUUGGUUUUGAAUUAUUAUAGUGUUUAGAAUAAUUUGGGUGUAGUGAAAUAAUAGAAAUAAUUUUUAGAGAUGGUGUAGCAGAUUUAGAUAGAAGAAGGGGCUAAAAACCAAAAUGAAUGGAUUUGAACAGAAACUUGUGCGAAAAAUUACAAAGUCAGAUGAGGGAUUUGUCCGCAAUUGGUGAUGUGCCUAGCUGGUUUGUCCCGCUAAUGGACUCAUGUCCUUUCUUAUUUAGCUACAACUCAAGGAAGGAAUAUGCAACUGACUAGGAAUAUUUUGUUGAUCGAAACUCGAUUCUGAAGUCCUUUGCAAAGUUGAUGGGAGAGAUUGUCAGUUUUCAUGAGCCAGUUCUUGAAGUUCAAUUCCAUAAUGAAAUUGACUUUGGACAUGGACCUACUAUGGAGUUUUAUACACAUCUUUCAAAAGCUUGAGUUAGGCAUGUGGAGAGGGGACAAAGGGGACAAAAUAGACGAUCAACCUAAUGGCCUAUUUCCCCUCCCAUAUUUGUCAAAGACAAUUUCCAUCGAACUCUUUUGUCAUUUUACGCUUUUAGGAUAUAUUGUUGGAAGAGCUCUUCAAGAUGGAAGAAUCCUAGAUCUCAAUUUCUCUAAAGCUUUUUAUAAGUUAAUAAUUAGAAAGGUAUGUAGUUAAUUAACUUGACAUGAGCUCAGAAACGAACAACCCACAUUAGUUUUGUCAUUUCUUAGUAUUUCUAUUUCUUUUUAGGAUCUUUUUCUUUAUGACGUCGAGUCAAUCGAUGCCACACUUGGUAGGACUAUGAAAGAGUUUCAUGCUCUUGCUAGUCGGAAAAAGCAUCUACCAUCUGCUCAAUUAAGCUUUAGAGGUUCUGGUAUUGAGGAUCUUUGUCUUACCUUCACUUCUGUUCCUGGGUGUCCUGACACUGAUCUUUUUUCUACUGACUCAGAUGUAAGGAAUUACUUGACUUGACAUAAUUGCAAUUCCAAUUCUUUAGUUCUCUUAUUGCUUAAGUUACUGCAUUUGUCCAUUUUGGUAGAUAAAUGAAAUCAACUUGGGGGAGUAUGUCUCACUAGUUACUGAUGCAACAGUGAGAUCAGGAAUUUUAAGACAAAUGAAAGCUUUUAAAUCUGGAUUGAACUUGGUAUGAGAUACUAAUAUCUUUCAUUUGUCAUCUCUUUCUUGUGUAUUACAUUUGUCAUUGUGUUUUACAUAUUUUACAUCACACAUGUGUUUUUUCAGGUUUUCCCAAUCAAAUAUCUUCAUAUUUAAGUAAAAAUUUCACUCUUUGCUAAAUUGAUAUGGGUGCCGGAAAGAAUUGGUUGGGAUAAUGUUGCUGUGGGGGUUUGGGACUUUGGGUGAACACAGUAAAGUGUUGGAUCAGGACCUUUGGGUAUGGUGAAAUUGGCUAGUCACAAAUGGGAGGUACAAAUGGGGGACUUUGGGUGAACAUAGUAAACUGUUGGAUGAGUUUUUUGUGUUGUGUGUCUCUCUGAUCUGUUGGAAAUGUGGUUGUGUUUUGUGGUGGGCUAGCAUAUUGGACUCGCAAUUUCUGGUUUAAAUGCUGCCUAUGUGAUUCUCCUUGAGUUAUUAUGGUUUGAUCUCAAUUUUGGAUAGUGUAGUGGUUGACCAGUGGCUGUAGCUUGAUAACUGUGAUGGUACCUCAGCUAGUCGUGUGUGUUCCACCUCUAUUUAAGCUUGUUGGGCGCUAGGGCGUAUCCGUAGUGACUGGCUGGGUCAUGCUUUCUAAAAGCUUCUGUUAUUGCUGUAUAAUUUUGCUGUUUUCCCUUUGUAUUUUGGGUUAAAACAUGUUUGUGCUUCCUUUUAAUACAAAAUGACUUAUAAAAACUAAAUUAAACUAAACUAAUAGGUAGAUCUUAUAGCUAUAUGAAACUUUUUAGAUAAGAAGGAACUAACUUAAUUUUAGUAAACUACAUUAGUUUAUCCUUUUUCUUUAUGAAAUUGCAUGUUUAUCUUUCUUUGCGUCAUUUUUUACUUUGAUAAAAAACUGAAUGGUUUGUCUUUUUAGCAAUCAAAUGAGCUUGAAAAUAACUUGAAUUCGGUCAAGGGUACACCGCUAUAAGUCCUCCCAUUAUUAAUUUGAUAAGUAUUAUGCAAGAGUUUGACGGUGAACAAAAAAGAGCAUUUCUAAAGUUUGUGACUGGGUCACCUCGGCUUCCUCGGGGAGGAUUAGCUUCUUAUCUCUGAAAAUGAAGAUUCAUCGAAGUGAAUAUAGCAACCAUGCAGACCUAACAAGAGUAUAUCCUACUGUCCGGACUUGUUUUAACUUCUUUGACUUACCCCCAUACUCAAAAAGGGACAUAAUGAAAGAGAAGUUGUUGUAUGCCAUAAUGGAUCAAGAACACCAAUCUUUCUACAUUGCCUAAUCUUUCUUUCAUGCAAUGAGCUGUCUUCCCCAACUUCAGAUUUUUAAAUGUCAAUUUGGAUUUUGAUAUUUUGAGUUACAAUCAAGAUUUAUUGUAUUGUAACUUUUGAUGAUCUAUGCACAAUGUUAAGAAGUUUCAUAAGUCAGAACUAUAUGGACCCAUUGCAGUGACCGCAUGAAAUAUACUCCGGAUUCGAAUCACUAAU